UGUGGGAGCGGGCUUGCUCGCGAAGGCGUAGUGUCAGUCGGUACAUUUUUCAUUGACCCACCGCCUUCGCGAGCAAGCCCGCUCCCACA
rnacentral:antisense_RNA from 1 species